rnacentral:lncRNA from 1 species
AGACAGUAAUGUUUUAUCUUAAGAUGGCCUUUUGUCCUAGCUCUUUCAUAUGAUUUGGAUUCAGUGGGCUCCAUGUUUUAAAAAGAAUAUCCACUUUGACAGUUUCAUGUAUGAAUGAGCACAUAUGAUAAUAAAUAGGUGCAAGGGUUAUAAAAGUGUAGGUGUUCCUGGGAAAGUAGCAGGGCACAGAAUCCCACUGUCAAGAUGGAACAAAAUGACAACCCAUGAGCAUCAGAACUUUCAAAAAAGGCUUCAGGACAUAACAGAGAUCCAGGAAAUUAGAAGUAAAGUCUGCUUCCCUUGCAUAACACUUGCCCUGAAACUGGUGGAGCUUUUACACAACAAGAGAGGACUUCCAUUUAAAGGUUCAAGAAACUGUGGAAUCUGAACACCUUGCAUGAGAUACUCAGUGUCUUGCAGGAAUAGACUGAUUAAAAGAGGUCUGUCAUUACAGCACCAAGUUGCCUAAUGGAAAG